rnacentral:rRNA from 1 species
GAUGAACGCUGGCGGCGUGCCUAAUACAUGCCAGUCGAGCGAACAGAUGAGGAGCUUGCUCCUCUGACGUUAGCGGCGGACGGGUGAGUAACACGUGGAUAACCUACCUAUAAGACUGGGAUAACUUCGGGAAACCGGAGCUAAUACCGGAUAAUAUAUUGAACCGCAUGGUUCAAUAGUGAAAGACGGUUUUGCUGUCACUAAUAGAUGGCUCCGCGCCGCAUUAGCUAGUUGGUAAGGUAACGGCUUACCAAGGCAAGGAUGCGUAGCCGACCUGAGCGGGUGAUCGGCCACACUGGAACUGAGACACGGUCCAGACUCCUACGGGAGGCAGCAGUAGGGAAUCUUCCGCAAUGGGCGAAAGCUUGACGGAGCAACGCCGCGUGAGUGAUGAAGGUCUUCGGAUCGUAAAACUCUGUUAUUAGUGAAGAACAAAUGUGUAAGUAACUAUGCACGUCUUGACGGUACCUAAUCAGAAAGCCACGGCUAACUACGUG